AACGAACGCUGGCGGCAUGCCUAACACAUGCAAGUCGAACGAGACCUUCGGGUCUAGUGGCGCACGGGUGCGUAACGCGUGGGAACCUGCCUUUAGGUUCGGAAUAACUCAGAGAAAUUUGAGCUAAUGCCGGAUGAUGUCUUCGGACCAAAGAUUUAUCGCCUUUAGAUGGGCCCGCGUUGGAUUAGCUAGUUGGUGGGGUAAAGGCCUACCAAGGCGACGAUCCAUAGCUGGUCUGAGAGGAUGAUCAGCCACACUGGGACUGAGACACGGCCCAGACUCCUACGGGAGGCAGCAGUGGGGAAUAUUGGACAAUGGGCGAAAGCCUGAUCCAGCAAUGCCGCGUGAGUGAUGAAGGCCUUAGGGUUGUAAAGCUCUUUUACCCGAGAUGAUAAUGACAGUAUCGGGAGAAUAAGCUCCGGCUAACUCCGUG
rnacentral:rRNA from 1 species